rnacentral:tRNA from 1 species
AUCUUGAUGGCUUAGUAGGUUGAGCAUCUGAUUUUGGCUCAGGUCAUGAUCUCAGGGUCCUGGGAUUGAGCAUCGCCCAGUCAAGUUA